UUUUAAAGUUUUCUGUGAAUAUUGUAAAUACGAUUUAAACUUAUUACUGUUUUAUGGCUCAUUCUUUUAACCACUAGCAAACCCAUGCAAUAAAAUUCGACCCCAUUUUAAAGCUUAUGACUCAACCGAUUUAUUAUUUCAUAAAAUAUACCAUGUUUAUUCUUUUGUUAUUUUGAUCCAACCGUUUCUAGACUCGUGUUGCUUAUCGUUUGCACAGACAGAGAGAUGAGAGCAUCAUAAAAUGACCACAAGCAAGCUGGAAUGUGGAUGCCAUCACAUCACACCCUCAAAUAUGGCGUGUCAGAGUUCAAAAAGCCUUAAAAUCAUCCGUCUGCCAUUUGAUCACCCAGAAGAUGUCCAGAGGUUCACAGGGCACCAUCGCUAUUCAAAAUAUGUGGACAAAGGUCAUAUCGGGCCCCGGAGGAUCACCAACAAUGUCAAAGGUCAUUGGGGUGAUACUACGGUCAACCAUGGUAGGGGGAUGGGAAAACUUCGUGGGUGGUCCGUGGGGGAGGGGAACGUCGUGGGUGGCCCCAAGGGUCACAGAGGUCAGAAAGGUCAAAGGUCACGAUCCAUCAUUUUGACAGAAGGUGCAGCAUAUAACUACUAGUAAGUAUAUCUUGAUAUAUGCUUUCUUUAUUUGUAUUUUUUCACCGUAACCUAGCAGUUCUUAUUGCCAUUAAGAGUGUAACUUAUUUAGUUUAAUCGCAGACGCAAUAUGGAGGUGAAUUAAUCAUGUUUCCUAUAAUUUAUUUAUGAUUGCAUUAUAAUGAUUUCUUAUAUAUGAAUGUGAUCGCGUGUGUGGGCGUGUUCAGAAUUUGAACUGCUGAAAAUACAAUAUUUUAAUUGAACUCUGACUUUUUAAAUCAUUUUAAACUAACUAAAUGACUUAAAGUUAAAUUUGCAGAACGAAAAUCAAAGAUCUGAUCUUGUAACAUUCAAAGACAUUUAUAUACAUUUAAUCCAUCGCUAUUAUAACCACCAGUGAUGUUCAAUAUAUCACCCCCUCUAGAAAUACUGCUUAUAAUCUAUUUUUCUUUUUGCAUUUGAAAAGUGAGGUGUUCAAUUACUGUUUGUGUUUGUAAUAUGUAAUAUUUUUGUGCUUAUCAUUUUGUAGGAUCAGUACAGAUUUGUUAUUGGAGAUACAGUGCAAGCUGUGUGGAAUCAAUGACCCGUAUUGAUGAGUUGAUGUUACAAGUUUUGCCAUUAAUUCAGCCAGCACACCCUGAUCACACACUACAAGCUACAACACUGCCAUCAACUAUCCUUAUAGCUUUUAAAUGCUUUGAAUCUUUUCUAUUUGCAAGUAUUAAAUUCUCACCUGUGCACUUACAAAUCCCCAUCUAAUCAUUAUAUAUCUAUAUAUAAUGAUAUUAUAUAAUUAUUUUCAAAGCAAAAACGCAUUCUGUGUGAACGACCCCUCAAUUUGCUUGGGUCUUGGGUUAUAUAUAGAUUAUUUAUCUAUAAUUGUGUAAUUGAUAAAGUUAUGUUUAAUUCCCUGUAAAGUAGGCUAGGAAUAAAAACGUUUAUAAAAAUGUUCUUUAUGUUUAAAGGCCAGUGUCAGUGAAGAUGGUGUGGUCACUGGAAUCCUGGUGUUUGUGGAAAUGGGAAGGAGUCUCUCCCAGGAUUCUACUACAGUGUUGUCCUGAUGACUGAGUAAAAAUGCCAGUUGGUUCAACUCUUUAGUAGUGCACCCAUUGCCUGGAGAAGAUCAAUUGUUCCAAUCUAAGAUGCACCAAGUGUGGGAAGCUGCUGGACAUGAAGUCUAGGCAGACGGCCCCUAUGAAAGUGUUCCGGACCAAGGAAUGGGCACAAAAAGUCCCGCAAUCAGGCAAAAAUCUUUGACAACAGUGCCCUGUUGUUCCUUCAGAUCACAUACUCCUCCAUCUCCAUCUCCCACAACAACCUUUAAUCCAAAUCAACAGCUCUUUUAAGAAGCCAUCUCUCGCAAAAGCUCUCUCACUAUUUCUCUCUCUCAGCUUUCUUGCCUAUUUUUUCUGACCUGUAAUCUGUAAUUCAUUUACACAUAGUUUUGCUCUCUUUCUUUCAUUUUUUCAUCAUGGCAUAUUUUUAAAUCUCAGAAUCAAAUGUUGACCAAUUCUGUCAGAAAGCUGAUCUUAUUAACAGGGAACUCGAACUCAAAGUUACCAAUGCUGAUCUUGAAGAAGCUGCAACGACAAACAUUUCCAGUGAGAAGAGAAGAAUAUCUUUCUGAUGGGAGUCUUGCAACUGUGGCACAAACUGGAGAAGUACCGGGAUGCCAGAGGUUGCUGUUCUGAAUUCCUGGGCACUUAUGUUUGUCUUUAAACAGUUUGACAUAUCAAGAAACAUUGGGAAAUGACUACAAAUUGUGUGCAUUCACUAUGAUUUUUUUUUAUUAUUAUUUCCUUUUUUACUUUUUUAUUCCUAUAGUUCAACUGGUAGAGCUAAGAAUGGCAAGAGGUCCAUUUCUAGGAAACACAGAAGUGACUAAAUGUAUACCUUUUAAUACACUAUAAAUACAGUAAUGUUACAGAAGCACUUUAGCCAAGCAGUACUACAUGCUUGAAUAAUUAUCAGAGGAGUAGUUUUCUGUAAGCAAAUAAAACAUUUUGAUACAUUUGGGACAAAUAAAUGUUUAACUGAUAAUCUGUCCAUUCACCACAAGAACCUGGAAGAUCCUGUCAUAAAUGACCAUAUAUGGACAAGCAAGUGUGACGCCCCUGCUCAACUGGGUUGCCAUUGGCUUUGAACUUCCCUUGACACUGGCAGGGCUCGCUGUGAUUGGACUAUCUUUUAACCCAAAUUAAAAAAUGCAUAAAGUUGCAAAGUAUGUUUUGUUGUUAUUAUUAUGUCAGUAAUACCUUCAUUUAACAAUGCAGCCUUGCUAUGUUGUGAGAAAUUACCUCUUUACCGAGAUCCUAACCCUAACCCUAAGCAUAACUUCACUAAACUACAAAUGUUUUUCGCGUUCUAUCGAUAGAAUGGCAGAGGCUUAUGGGUAAUGUAGUUUAAAACGUUUAAUAAUGAAAUGGGGGGAUAUACUUAACUUUAAUGAACAAAGGGAUAUAGUCAUGUUUAUUGUGCAAACCUCUAUGACAUAUUUGAGAGGCAGGCUGAAAUUUGAUAUUUUACUAUGAGCACUUUUUAAAAUGCCUUUAUACCAUCUUUUUGUAUAUAUUUGAAAAUUGUGUCCAACACUAUUUAGUAAACAUAGAAUAUGUAAUUGUCAUGCCAAUUUUUUUCUUUGAUACUAAAAUCAGACUUUGAUUUACAGCCAUUUGAAAUGUGCAUUUUUUUCUUUUCUUUUGCACUUCCAGGGGACUUUACAUGGGCCCCUGGGGUGGAAGGGCAUUUUCAGUUAUUUAUUUAAAAUAACUUAAGAUAAACAGUAUCUUCUUAUAUAAAAAAUAAAUGUAUAUAUCUUUUUUUUUUAUUUACUUCUCAUCUAUGCAUUUAUGCUGUGUUUUUGUGGAUAUUUUGUAUUUUUUCUUUACAUAUUUACUGCACAAUUACUUAACCAUGUCAUAAAUUGGCUUAUGAAAAAUUGAUUUUUAAUGAAAAAAAUCACUUUAAUGAUGAACUUAAUUAAAUAUAAAUUGUUUUUGGACAUUGCUCUAUGUGUUAGGGAUAGAAUACUACCAUCUACAGGUUUGUGGAAAAACUUUAGGAAUUAUAGUUAAAGAAAGAAA